AUCCAAGGCUAUAAUUCUUGUGAUGAUUAUCUCAUUAAUCAUGGCCACAGUUACAGAAGAUUGAAGCUCAAGUAUUCCAAUUGUUUUGCC